rnacentral:rRNA from 1 species
ACGGGAGGCAGCAGUGGGGAAUGUUGGACAAUGGGCGAAAGCCUGAUCCAGCGACGCCGCGUGAGUGAAGAAGUAUUUCGGUAUGUAAAGCUCUAUCAGCAGGGAAGAUAAUGACGGUACCUGACUAAGAAGCCCCGGCUAACUACGUGCCAGCAGCCGCGGUAGUACGUAGGGGGCAAGCGUUAUCCGGAUUUACUGGGUGUAAAGGGAGCGUAGACGGCAUGGCAAGUCUGGUGUGAAAGCCCAGGGCUCAACCCUGGGACUGCAUUGGAAACUGUCAAGCUAGAGUGCAGGAGAGGUAAGUGGAAUUCCUAGUGUAGCGGUGAAAUGCGUAGAUAUUAGGAGGAACACCAGUGGCGAAGGCGGCUUACUGGACUGUAACUGACGUUGAGGCUCGAAAGCGUGGGGAGCAAACAGGAUUAGAUACCCUGGUA